ensembl:lncRNA
GGACUAGCUUUCAUUGGCUACAGCCACCACAUCAAAUAUCAGUAAAACAUGAGAACAAGAACCACAUGAAGGGAGAGAGCACCAACCUCGGGGAGCCUCUUAACACUUAAGAAGCCUCUUGGUAGAACUGAAGCCUCCAGAAUAAAAAACAAGCACCGUUGUUCUCUAUGGUCUAAAUCACUUCAAAAGAGAUUAAGGAGCCCCAAAAAGAUAAAACUCAGCUUAGAUGUGCACCCACCCACUUCCUUGCUAGCAUCUUCCACGGCAUGGCAGGAACCAGGCCCCACUAAGCAGGGGGCAAGGAGAGGCUGGGGCGGAGGGAGCUGAAGCGAGGCAGAGAAGACCCCCGCCGCCCUCCGUGCACCCCUACCAUUUGCAGACUCGGACUCAGAUAGUGAGCCCAGAGGUGGCACCGCGCUCGAUGCUGUGGAGGCCAGACGGCUGGAUCACUCGACUCUGCCACGCUCGGCUCCAGGACCCUGCAGUUUUCUGACUCAGAUCUCAGCGAGCACCACUGACAUCUGUUACCCCUGAAGAGAUGUGAUAUGGGGCCUAAUGGAUUUUCUGUGUGUUCCUUUCUGACCCUGGAGAGACCUCCCAGGAAGACCAAAUAUGUCUAUCAGAGGGGUCAGGCCCCUCGCAGGGAAAAUGCGAUCCAACACCACUGCAGUCUCUGGCUGCAGAGAGUGAAAGGAAAGGACCAGAAGAAACAAAGCAAGCCCAGCCCGGGGAGAGCAGGCCCCCGCGGGCUCCACUGCUGCGCAGGCGCGAAUGGCAGCAAGCCGCGUGCGACCAGCUUGCAUCAAGAGCGCGUUUCAAUCCCUUACACUUGGCAUUCAAGAACAUUUUGGUACUUGUAUUUAAUCGUGGGUGUUUUUGUUAUUUCUGUAAUUCACAACACAUGAGGCCAUUCUGGGAGAACCUGAAUCACUAGGAGGCAAAGAGCCAUCAUCCUAUUUCCCACCCAGCUCUGGCUCCAUCAAUACCCCUUCCUGGGACACCACGCUGGGGGUGGCAGCUCAGAUUCCCUGAUGAUGAGAAGCAGCCCAAACGCCCAAGCUUUGAGGGGAAGAGGUCUCCCUGCUUUCUUUCAAGAGGGGAUAGGGUACCAACAGCUGGGCUCAAAGGCCCUUCUUCGCUGGGAGCUGAGCAAAGGCAGAGGAGACGUUGUGUCAACGUCAUAGAGUUGCAAGGAAAGCUGAUGUUUAGAAGGACCUACCCUGGGCCAGGAAUCAUACCAGACUCUUUCCUGUAAUUCAAGUCACUAAACUCACAAUGGCAACCCACUCCAGUACUCUUGCCUGAAAAGUCCCAUGGACAGAGGAGCCUGGUAGGCUGCGAUCCAUGGGGUCGCUAGGAGUCGGAUGCGACUGAGCGACUUCACUUUCACUUUUCACUUUCAUGCAUUGGAGAAGGAAAUGGCAACCCACUCCAGUGUUCUUGCCUGGAGAAUCCCAGGGACAGGGGAGCCUGGUGG